rnacentral:rRNA from 1 species
GAUGAACGCUGGCGGCGUGCCUAAUACAUGCAAGUCGAGCGAACGGACGAGAAGCUUGCUUCUCUGAUGUUAGCGGCGGACGGGUGAGUAACACGUGGAUAACCUACCUAUAAGACUGGGAUAACUUCGGGAAACCGGAGCUAAUACCGGAUGAUAUUUUGAACCGCAUGGUUCAAAAGUGAAAGACGGUCUUGCUGUCACUUAUAGAUGGAUCCGCGCUGCAUUAGCUAGUUGGUAAGGUAACGGCUUACCAAGGCAACGAUGCAUAGCCGACCUGAGAGGGUGAUCGGCCACACUGGAACUGAGACACGGUCCAGACUCCUACGGGAGGCAGCAGUAGGGAAUCUUCCGCAAUGGGCGAAAGCCUGACGGAGCAACGCCGCGUGAGUGAUGAAGGUCUUCGGAUCGUAAAACUCUGUUAGUAGGGAAGAACAGAUGUGUAAGUAACUGUGCACAUCUUGACGGUACCUAAUCAGAAAGCCACGGCUAACUACGUG